rnacentral:rRNA from 1 species
GGCUACGGCUCAACCGUAGUAAGCUCUUGAAACUGGGAGACUUGAGUGCAGGAGAGGAGAGUGGAAUUCCUAGUGUAGCGGUGAAAUGCGUAGAUAUUAGGAGGAACACCAGUUGCGAAGGCGGCUCGCUGGACUGUAACUGACGCUGAGGCACGAAAGCGUGGGGAGCAAACAGGAUUAGAUACCCUGGUAGUCCACGCUGUAAACGAUGAGUACUAGGUGUCGGGGGUUACCCCCUUCGGUGCCGCAGCUA